AACGCUAGCUACAGGCUUAACACAUGCAAGUCGAGGGGCAGCAUUAUCGAAGCUUGCUUUGAUAGAUGGCGACCGGCGCACGGGUGAGUAACGCGUAUCCAACCUUCCCCAUAGUCAGGAAUAGCCCGGCGAAAGUCGAAUUAAUGCCUGAUGUUUUCCACGGACGGCAUCCGAUGUGGAACAAAGAUUCAUCGCUAUGGGAUGGGGAUGCGUCUGAUUAGCUUGUUGGCGGGGUAACGGCCCACCAAGGCAACGAUCAGUAGGGGUUCUGAGAGGAAGGUCCCCCACAUUGGAACUGAGACACGGUCCAAACUCCUACGGGAGGCAGCAGUGAGGAAUAUUGGUCAAUGGGCGGAAGCCUGAACCAGCCAAGUAGCGUGAGGGAUGACUGCCCUAUGGGUUGUAAACCUCUUUUAUAAGGGAAUAAAAUACGGGACGUGUCCUGUUUUGCAUGUACCUUAUGAAUAAGGACCGGCUAAUUCCGUGCCAGCAGCCGCGGUAAUACGGAAGGUCCGGGCGUUAUCCGGAUUUAUUGGGUUUAAAGGGAGCGUAGGCCGGCUUUUAAGCGUGUUGUGAAAUGCCGCGGCUCAACCGUGGCACUGCAGCGCGAACUGGAGGCCUUGAGUGCGCGGGAGGUAGGCGGAAUUCGUGGUGUAGCGGUGAAAUGCUUAGAUAUCACGAAGAACUCCGAUUG
rnacentral:rRNA from 1 species